rnacentral:tRNA from 1 species
GCCCGGGUGGCGUAACCGGCAGACGUAGGCGGCUUAAACCCGCCGGCCCUUCGGGGCGUGAGGGUUCGAGUCCCUCCCCGGGCA